rnacentral:rRNA from 1 species
AGUGAACGCUGGCGGCAGGCCUAACACAUGCAAGUCGAGCGGCAGCGCGGGGGCAACCCUGGCGGCGAGCGGCGGACGGGUGAGGAAUACAUGGGAAUCUACCUCGUCGUGGGGGAUAACGUAGGGAAACUUACGCUAAUACCGCAUGCGACCGAGAGGUGAAAGCGGCGGACCGCAAGGCGUCGCGCGGUGAGAUGAGCCCAUGUCGGAUUAGCUAGUUGGCGGGGUAAAGGCCCACCAAGGCGACGAUCCGUAGCUGGUCUGAGAGGAUGAUCAGCCACACUGGAACUGAGACACGGUCCAGACUCCUACGGGAGGCAGCAGUGGGGAAUAUUGGACAAUGGGCGCAAGCCUGAUCCAGCCAUGCCGCGUGGGUGAAGAAGGCCUUCGGGUUGUAAAGCCCUUUUGUCCGGAAAGAAAUCCUGUCGGUUAAUACCCGGCGG